AAUAAUUAGGCUACAUGCAUUUAAGUUCAUUUUUAUGCAGGGCAUUUAACAUUGUACUUUUACAGUGUGGCAUUGUGUUUAUUUAAGUGAAAGAUCUGAAUACUUCAUCCACCACUGAACAACAACAACAAUGUACAGCACAACAAUAACAUGUAUUUAUAUAAGACUUGUAAAAUGCAACAUUAAAAAGACUAAUGACUGAAAAAAAUGU